CAGUCGCCACGGUAAUACGGAGGGAGCUAGCGUUGUUCGGAAUUACUGGGCGUAAAGCGCGCGUAGGCGGUUACUCAAGUCAGAGGUGAAAGCCCGGGGCUCAACCCCGGAACUGCCUUUGAAACUAGGUGACUAGAAUCUUGGAGAGGUCAGUGGAAUUCCGAGUGUAGAGGUGAAAUUCGUAGAUAUUCGGAGGAGCACCAGUGGCGAAGGCGGCUCACUGGUCCGGUACUGACGCUGAGGUGCGAAAGCGUGGGGAGCGAACAGGAUUAGAUACCCCCGUAGUCCCUGUCUCUUAUAU
rnacentral:rRNA from 1 species